CCGGCCCCGGAGCCCCCGGCCCCGCCAGAGCCGCCCGCCACCGACGCCGAGACCGGGGGGGACGCCGCCAUGGUGGAUGCCAGCGCGGCCCUGGAGACCGAGUCGGCCAACGGGAAGGAGCCCCUGGACGCUGCCGGGGACGGCGCCGAAGCCAUGGAUGCCCAGGGGGGCUCGGGGGACGAGGAGAACGCGCGGCAGCUGGGCGAGAUCGAGUUGCAGUGUGGCAUCUGCACCAAGUGGUUCACAGCUGACACCUUCGGCAUCGACACCACGUAGGUGAUGGGGCUGGCAGGGCAGCACGGGGCUUUAGAGUGCAGUGUUUGGAGUCUGAGUUC